UUCUGUAUGAUUCUCAGUGCUUUCCAUUUGCGUGUCCACAGGUUGCUGUAAGUGGUGCUUGACUGCAGUUUGCUCUCAUUUCAAGUGGUUUGCUGUCACAAAGCCAACAGGAAGUCCGGCCAUGGUUGAGCCAACUGAAGAUGGGUUGAAGGUGGCGUCCUCGUUUCCUCUCGAUACAUGUUGGAAAAUGGAGACUUUAGCCACCAAGACUGACGUGCCUGGAAACUUCCCUUCACGGGGUUUGUGACUGAAAUGCGUGUGGUCGACGGGAAGCCUGACGAGUACGGCCUGAAUCAUUCCAUCAACACCGGACGGAGUGAAACCUUUGUUGAAAACAGAUUAUAUGGUAACGUUGCAUUUAGCUUCAGUAAACUGUGAAGUUACAGCAGCAGAUUUACAUCACGUGGCUUCACAGGAAGUAGUCUGGACCUCAGCGCUGAGGUUCAAGCAGCUCUGCUUGCAGACGGCAUCCUUCCUGAAAAUGUUCUUCAUCUUCCUCAAACCAGAACUUUUACAUUGGUGCUGAAGUUCUAUAUAAAAACAGCCUGAAAUACAAAGUGAUGUUGUGCACUGAUUACCUCACACUUUCCAUGUUUCCUUCUACAGAGGAGUGUCCGCCUGAGUGUUUUGUCUGAUCUGUUGUUGAUCGUCUCAUUGACACUGCAUGCAGAUCUGACACCAGGGCUGGACUGGGACAAAAAAUGGUCCCGGGCAUUUUGACUGGAGACCGGCCCCCCAGGAAGUAGACUGUUGGUCGAGUUAACCUCCUGAACAUCUACAACACACGGUGGAAACCUGACAUUAAGACAGAGACUAGA